rnacentral:rRNA from 1 species
GACGAACGCUGGCGGCGUGCUUAACACAUGCAAGUCGAACGGAAAGGCCCUGCUUUUGUGGGGUGCUCGAGUGGCGAACGGGUGAGUAACACGUGAGUAACCUGCCCUUGACUUUGGGAUAACUUCAGGAAACUGGGGCUAAUACCGGAUAGGAGCUCCUGCUGCAUGGUGGGGGUUGGAAAGUUUCGGCGGUUGGGGAUGGACUCGCGGCUUAUCAGCUUGUUGGUGGGGUAGUGGCUUACCAAGGCUUUGACGGGUAGCCGGCCUGAGAGGGUGACCGGCCACCUGGGGAGGGAGUGAGGGCCGGGCCCCCUUCGGGAGGGAGGCAGGGGGAAUGUUGCACAGAGGGCGGGAGCAAGAUGCAGCAACCCAGGGUGCGGGAGGGCGGCCUGCGGGUUGGAAACCACUUUCGCUUGUGAGGGAGGGUAAGGACCGGAAAGGGGGAAAAAGCCCCGGGUAACUUCGGG